rnacentral:rRNA from 1 species
CCUACGGGAGGCAGCAGUGAGGAAUAUUGGUCAAUGGACGAGAGUCUGAACCAGCCAAGUAGCGUGAAGGAUGACUGCCCUAUGGGUUGUAAACUUCUUUUAUAUGGGAAUAAAACGUUCCACGUGUGGGAUUUUGUAUGUACCAUAUGAAUAAGGAUCGGCUAACUCCGUGCCAGCAGCCGCGGUAAUACGGAGGAUCCGAGCGUUAUCCGGAUUUAUUGGGUUUAAAGGGAGCGUAGGUGGAUUGUUAAGUCAGUUGUGAAAGUUUGCGGCUCAACCGUAAAAUUGCAGUUGAAACUGGCAGUCUUGAGUACAGUAGAGGUGGGCGGAAUUCGUGGUGGAGCGGUGAAAUGCUUAGAUAUCACGAAGAACUCCGAUUGCGAAGGCAGUUCACUGGACUGCAACUGACACUGAGGCUCGAAAGUGUGGGUAUCAAACAGGAUUAGAGACCCGGGUAGUC